GGUGAAAAGCACCCCGGAAGGGGAGUGAAAUAGAACCUGAAACCGUGUGCUUACAAGUAGUCAGAGCCCGUUAAUGGGUGAUGGCGUGCCUUUUGUAGAAUGAACCGGCGAGUUACGAUUUGAUGCAAGGUUAAGCAGUAAAUGUGGAGCCGUAGCGAAAGCGAGUCUGAAUAGGGCGUUUAGUAUUUGGUCGUAGACCCGAAACCAGGUGAUCUACCCUUGGUCAGGUUGAAGUUCAGGUAACACUGAAUGGAGGACCGAACCGACUUACGUUGAAAAGUGAGCGGAUGAACUGAGGGUAGCGGAGAAAUUCCAAUCGAACCUGGAGAUAGCUGGUUCUCUCCGAAAUAGCUUUAGGGCUAGCCUCAAGUGAUGAUUAUUGGAGGUAGAGCACUGUUUGGACGAGGGGCCCCUCUCGGGUUACCGAAUUCAGACAAACUCCGAAUGCCAAUUAAUUUAACUUGGGAGUCAGAACAUGGGUGAUAAGGUCCGUGUUCGAAAGGGAAACAGCCCAGACCACCAGCUAAGGUCCCAAAAUAUAUGUUAAGUGGAAAAGGAUGUGGCGUUGCCCAGACAACUAGGAUGUUGGCUUAGAAGCAGCCAUCAUUUAAAGAGUGCGUAAUAGCUCACUAGUCGAGUGACACUGCGCCGAAAAUGUACCGGGGCUAAACAUAUUACCGAAGCUGUGGAUUGUCCUUUGGACAAUGGUAGGAGAGCGUUCUAAGGGCGUUGAAGCAUGAUCGUAAGGACAUGUGGAGCGCUUAGAAGUGAGAAUGCCGGUGUGAGUAGCGAAAGACGGGUGAGAAUCCCGUCCACCGAUUGACUAAGGUUUCCAGAGGAAGGCUCG
rnacentral:rRNA from 1 species